rnacentral:rRNA from 1 species
GACGUAGGGUGCGAGCGUUGUCCGGAUUUAUUGGGCGUAAAGAGCUCGUAGGCGGCUCGUCGCGUCAGCUGUGAAAACCCGCAGCUUAACUGUGGGCUUGCAGCUGAUACGGGCGGGCUAGAGUUCGGUAGGGGAGACUGGAAUUCCUGGUGUAGCGGUGAAAUGCGCAGAUAUCAGGAGGAACACCAACAGCGAAGGCAGCACUCUGGGCCGGUACUGACGCUGAGGAGCGAAAGCAUGGGGAGCGAACAGG